CUGCCGGGCCCGGCUGCAGACCUCUCUCCUCCGUCGCCGUGUGAGCUCCGGGAAGCCUGUGUUCUCUGAUGGCGGCCAGGAGCGACCAGUCCAGCCAGAAGAACCUUGAGGGUAGAGGAUAAUUUUCCUACCCAACUUCUGGAUGCAGCGGUGUAUUUAUCCCUCGCCCACUGAAGGACGCCUGGAUUGCUCCCAAGUUUUCGGGAUUACGAAUGAAGCUCUUUAUAACCUGCCGCCUCUUCACUGCCGGAGUUCAACAAGGAACUGCGCUUAAUUCCACCUUUUCUCUUUACUCCUGCCCAAAAGGACUGGCUCCUUGAAUUCUUCUCCAAAUGAUGAAGAAAGGGAAGGCAGGAAGGAAAAAAGAAAGGACUACGUAUGUUACAUGACGGGACAAAAGGGACUUGGCCGAUGUAAUUAAGGCUGCAGACGCUAAUGUAGGAGAUUAGCCAGGAUUAUCUCUGUGUGCCUGACCUCAUCUCAUGAGCACCUAGAAAAGCCCAGCACUUUCUCCAGCUGGACUCCGAGAGAUGCAGGGUGUGUGGGGGACUUAGCCUGCCCUUGCUGGAGCACGAGAAGGGAUAUGGCAGCGAAGACUGUCCUUGGCCGAGUCAGCAAGAAAAUGGGGCCUCAGUCCUGGGCGAACCGCAAGGAACUGAAUUCAGGCACCCGCCUGGAAGGGCUUGGAAGUAGACUGGUUCCGGGGGCCUCCAGACAGGCACACAGCCCACCAAGCGGUGCCUUGAUUUUCGCCUGGACAGAGAGCCAGUGGAGCCAGUGAAGCCCACUUCUGGCCUCCGGAGCUGUGAGAGGACAGGUGGCUGUGGUCCUGUGCCAUUAAGUUGCGGUAAUGCCGAGGACAGGGAAAGAAAACGGAGACAGCGUGUCUGUGUGAAAUAAUGAUUCGUGUCCACUCA